rnacentral:hammerhead_ribozyme from 1 species
AUCCAGUCGACGAGUUCCAACCAGGAUGAAAUGCGCAUCCUGUAU